rnacentral:rRNA from 2 species
GGCAUGAGGCUCUAUACAUGCAGUCGAGCGAACUGAUUAGAAGCUUGCUUCUAUGACGUUAGCGGCGGACGGGUGAGUAACACGUGGGCAACCUGCCUGUAAGACUGGGAUAACUCCGGGAAACCGGAGCUAAUACCGGAUAACAUUUUCUCUUGCAUAAGAGAAAAUUGAAAGAUGGUUUCGGCUAUCACUUACAGAUGGGCCCGCGGUGCAUUAGCUAGUUGGUGAGGUAACGGCUCACCAAGGCAACGAUGCAUAGCCGACCUGAGAGGGUGAUCGGCCACACUGGGACUGAGACACGGCCCAGACUCCUACGGGAGGCAGCAGUAGGGAAUCUUCCGCAAUGGACGAAAGUCUGACGGAGCAACGCCGCGUGAGUGAUGAAGGCUUUCGGGUCGUAAAACUCUGUUGUUAGGGAAGAACAAGUACAAGAGUAACUGCUUGUACCUUGACGGUACCUAACCAGAAAGCCACGGCUAACUACGUGCCAGCAGCCGCGGUAAUACGUAGGUGGCAAGCGUUAUCCGGAAUUAUUGGGCGUAAAGCGCGCGCAGGCGGUUUCUUAAGUCUGAUGUGAAAGCCCACGGCUCAACCGUGGAGGGUCAUUGGAAACUGGGGAACUUGAGUGCAGAAGAGAAAAGCGGAAUUCCACGUGUAGCGGUGAAAUGCGUAGAGAUGUGGAGGAACACCAGUGGCGAAAGGGGCUUUUUGGUCUGUAACUGACGCUGAGCGCGAAAGCGUGGGGGAGCAAACAGGAUUAGAUACCCUGGGUAGUCCACGCCGUAAACGAUGAGUGCUAAGUGUUAGAGGGUUUCCGCCCUUUAGUGCUGCAGCUAACGCAUUAAGCACUCCGCCUGGGGGAGUACAGGUCGCAAGACUGGAAGACUCAAAGGAGAUUGAUCGA